GCCAAAAGAGCUCAUUUGGUAGAGCGUUAGACUGAAAAUCUAAAGGUCCCUGGUUAGAACCCGGGUUUCGGCA